rnacentral:rRNA from 1 species
AUACGUAGGUGACAAGCGUUAUCCGGAUUUACUGGGCGUAAAGGGCGCGUAGGCGGCCCGGUAAGUCUGGAGUGAAAGUCCUGUUUUUAAGAUGGGACUUGCUUUGGAUACUGUCGGGCUUGAGUGCAGGAGAGGUAAGUGGAAUUCCCAGUGUAGCGGUGAAAUGCGUAGAGAUUGGGAGGAACACCAGUGGCGAAGGCGACUUACUGGACUGUAACUGACGCUGAGGCGCGAAAGUGUGGGGAGCAAACAGGAUUAGAUACCCUGGUAGUCCACACUGUAAACGAUGAAUGCUAGGUGUAGGGGGUAUCGACCCCUUCUGUGCCGCAGUCAACACAAUAAGCAUUCCGCCUGGGGAGUACGGCCGCAAGGUUGAAACUCAAAUGAAUUGACGGGG